rnacentral:rRNA from 1 species
ACGAAAGGUCCGAGCGUUGUUCGGAAUCAUUGGGCGUAAAGCGCACGUAGGCGGAUUGGUGUGUCGAUUGUGAAAGCCCAGGGCUUAACCCUGGAAUUGCAGUCGAAACUGCCAAUCUUGAAUACUUGAUAGGGUGGGAGAAUUCCUGGUGGAGCAGUGAAAUGCGUAGAGAUCAGGAGGAAUACCGGAGGCGAAGGCGCCUGCCUGGCAAGAUAUUGACGCUGAGGUGCGAAAGCGUGGGGAGCAAACAGG